UCGAACGGUAACAGGAAGCAGCUUGCUGCUUCGCUGACGAGUGGCGGACGGGUGAGUAAUGUCUGGGAAACUGCCUGAUGGAGGGGGAUAACUACUGGAAACGGUAGCUAAUACCGCAUAACGUCGCAAGACCAAAGAGGGGGACCUUCGGGCCUCUUGCCAUCGGAUGUGCCCAGAUGGGAUUAGCUAGUAGGUGGGGUAACGGCUCACCUAGGCGACGAUCCCUAGCUGGUCUGAGAGGAUGACCAGCCACACUGGAACUGAGACACGGUCCAGACUCCUACGGGAGGCAGCAGUGGGGAAUAUUGCACAAUGGGCGCAAGCCUGAUGCAGCCAUGCCGCGUGUAUGAAGAAGGCCUUCGGGUUGUAAAGUACUUUCAGCGGGGAGGAAGGCGAUAAGGUUAAUAACCUUGUCUAUUGACGUU
rnacentral:rRNA from 1 species